AUAUCAGUAUUCAUACAAAACAAAUAUAGAUAUGAAUAUAUUGGUAUCCGAUCCGUAUCUUAUCCGAUUUCAGCCUUAAAGAGAAGUUUUCGGUCGAAACUAGGCUUGAAGUUAUACAACUCAACCUGGCUAUCCAACUUCAAUCCAAUUCGAAACUAGGUUCGAAGUUAUACAAGUCAACCUGGCUAUCUAACUUCAAUCCAAGUUGCACCACACCCCCAACACUAUAACAACAACCCAACACAGCAAUCUAGCCAGAACGACUACCUUGUUUCGUCAAAGACUAUGAUUUCCAUAAGAGCUAGAUGUGGGCUAACCACAUUUGACAUUUUUGAUAGGCUUUGACUCUAGGCAAACUAUACCUAAAAUGCCAGCUCAUUAAUGUCCAGGUCAGUCUCCUCACAAAAUAAUAAUAAUAAUAAUCCCAUUUAGACUUCAUAUAUGCGAUAGGCCAGCUCAUUCCCCUUAAAAUUUGCGGCAUUAGCAACAGUAUUAAGCAUCAACGCUCCCAAGUUCUUGCAAAUGCCUUCACUCGGAACCCUUAAAAGCCAAUUAUCUGAGCAGCUAAAAGACAAAUGCAUGGGUAGAUGGCUGUUCCCCCCACGAGCUUUAGCAUUGACUUGGACUGCGUCUAAUGUACGUGCCCAC
rnacentral:lncRNA from 1 species